rnacentral:rRNA from 1 species
CAGUGGCAAGGUUAACCGAAUAGGGAAGCCGUAGAGAAAUCGAGUCCGAAUAGGGCGUUCAGUCGCUGGGUGUAGACCCGAAACCAAGUGAUCUAUCCAUGGCCAGGAUGAAGGUACCGUAACAGGUGCUGGAGGUCCGAACCGACUAGUGUUGCAAAACUAGCGGAUGAGCUGUGGAUAGGGGUGAAAGGCUAAACAAACUUGGAAAUAGCUGGUUCUCUCCGAAAACUAUUUAGGUAGUGCCUCAAGUAUUACCAUCGGGGGUAGAGCACUGUUUAGGCUAGGGGGUCAUGGCGACUUACCAAACCUUGGCAAACUCCGAAUACCGAUGAGUACAGCUUGGGAGACAGAGCACCGGGUGCUAACGUCCGGACUCAAGAGGGAAACAACCCAGACCGCCAGCUAAGGUCCCUAAAAUUGGCUAAGUGGGAAACGAAGUGGGAAGGCUAAAACAGUCAGGAUGUUGGCUUAGAAGCAGCCAUCAUUUAAAGAAAGCGUAAUAGCUCACUGAUCGAGUCGUCCUGCGCGGAAGAUGUAACGGGG